rnacentral:rRNA from 1 species
GUAGGUGGCAAGCGUUGUCCGGAAUUAUUGGGCGUAAAGCGCGCGCAGGCGGUUCUUUAAGUCUGAUGUGAAAGCCCACGGCUCAACCGUGGAGGGUCAUUGGAAACUGGAGAACUUGAGUACAGAAGAGGAAAGCGGAAUUCCACGUGUAGCGGUGAAAUGCGUAGAGAUGUGGAGGAACACCAGUGGCGAAGGCGGCUUUCUGGUCUGUAACUGACGCUGAGGCGCGAAAGCGUGGGGAGCAAACAGGGAUUAGAUACCCUGGUAGUCCACGCCGUAAACGAUGAGUGCUAAGUGUUAGGGGGGGUUUUCCGCCCCCCUUAGUGCUGCAGCUAACGCACUAAGCACUCCGCCUGGGGAUACGGCCGCAAGGCUG